rnacentral:rRNA from 1 species
GAGUUUGAUCGUGGCUCAGGACGAACGCUGGCGGCGUGCUUAAUACAUGCAAGUCAACGAGAAACAGGGUGCUUGCAUCCUGUGGACAGUGGCGCACGGGUGCGUAACACGUAGGUAAUCUGCCCUUAGGACUGACAUAACUCCGGGAAACCGAAGCUAAUAUCAGAUAAUGCAGCGGCUCGGCAUCGAGACAGUUGUUAAAUCUUCGGAGCCUAAGGAUGAACCUGCGUCCCAUUAGGUAGUUGGUGAGGUAAAUGCUCACCAAGCCUGCGAUGGGUAGCUGGUCUGAGAGGAUGAUCAGCCACACUGGAACUGAGACACGGUCCAGACUCCUACGGGAGGCAGCAGUAAGGAAUAUUGCUCAAUGGGAGAAAUCCUGAAGCAGCAACGCCGCGUGGAGGAUGAAGGCAUAUUUGUU